CAGACAGCCAGGAUGUUGGCUUAGAAGCAGCCAUCAUUUAAAGAAAGCGUAAUAGCUCACUGGUCGAGUCGGCCUGCGCGGAAGAUGUAACGGGGCUAAACCAUGCACCGAAGCUGCGGCAGCGACGUUUAUGCGUUGUUGGGUAGGGGAGCGUUCUGUAAGCCUGCGAAGGUGGCCUGUGAGGGUUGCUGGAGGUAUCAGAAGUGCGAAUGCUGACAUAAGUAACGAUAAAGCGGGUGAAAAGCCCGCUCGCCGGAAGACCAAGGGUUCCUGUCCAACGUUAAUCGGGGCAGGGUGAGUCGACCCCUAAGGCGAGGCCGAAAGGCGUAGUCGAUGGGAAACGGGUUAAUAUUCCCGUACUUGGUGUUACUGCGAAGGGGGGACGGAGAAGGCUAUGUUGGCCGGGCGACGGUU
rnacentral:rRNA from 1 species